AGCGAACGCUGGCGGCAGGCCUAACACAUGCAAGUCGAACGAACUCUUCGGAGUUAGUGGCGGACGGGUGAGUAACACGUGGGAACGUGCCUUUAGGCUUGGAAAAAUUCAGGGACAUUUGGGCUAAUACAGAGUGUGCCCUUCGGGGGAAAGAUUUAGCGCCUUUAGUGCGGCCCGCGACCGAUUAGCUAGUUGGGGAGGUAAAGACUCACCAAGGCGACGAUCAGUAGCUGGUCUGAGAGGAUGAUCAGCCACAUUGGGACUGAGACACGGCCCAAACUCCUACGGGAGGCAGCAGUGGGGAAUCUUGCGCAAUGGGCGAAAGCCUGACGCAGCCAUGCCGCGUGAAUGAUGAAGGUCUUAGGAUUGUAAAAUUCUUUCACCGGGGACGAUAAUGACGGUACCCGGAGAAGAAGCCCCGGCUAACUUCGUG
rnacentral:rRNA from 1 species